UUUCCGUAGGUGAACCUGCGGAAGGAUCAUUGUCGAAUCCUGUAAAAGCAGACCGCGAACAUGUUAAACCACAUCGGGAGCGUGGGUCGGGGGAAACUCCAACCUUCGUUCCCAUCCCGCAGCGCGAGCUGUGGCUAACGAACCCCGGCGCGGCAUGCGCCAAGGAAAACUAAUAGAAGCAUCCGCCUCUUAUCGCCCCGUUCGCGGUGAGCGGUGGGGGAUGUCUCUCAAUGUCAUAACGACUCUCGGCAACGGAUAUCUCGGCUCUCGCAUCGAUGAAGAACGUAGCGAAAUGCGAUACUUGGUGUGAAUUGCAGAAUCCCGUGAACCAUCGAGUCUUUGAACGCAAGUUGCGCCCAAAGCCUUCCGGCUGAGGGUACGUCUGCCUGGGCGUCACGCAUUGCGUCGCCCCCCUCCCAUUCGUCGGAUAUUGGCCCCCCGUGCACUGUGUUGCGCGGCCGGCCUAAAUGUGAACCCGUGGCGACUAUCGUCACGACCAGUGGUGGUUGAACAAUCAACUCUCGUGCUGUCGUGUCGGGAGUCGCAUGUCGGGCAAUGUGGUAGACCCAAUGGCGCAGYUAAUUGUGCCUUCGACCGCGACCCCAGGUCAGGCGGGAUUACCCGCUGAGUUUAA
rnacentral:rRNA from 1 species